AGCAUAACUAGUAUUGGAGGCACUGCCUGCCCAGUGACAACCGUUAAACGGCCGCGGUAUCCUGACCGUGCAAAGGUAGCAUAAUCACUUGUUCUCUAAAUAGGGACUUGUAUGAAUGGCCACACGAGGGUUUUACUGUCUCUUACUUCCAAUCAGUGAAAUUGACCUUCCCGUGAAGAGGCGGGAAUAUAUCAAUAAGACGAGAAGACCCUAUGGAGCUUUAACUACUUAGCCCAAAAGAAACAAAUUUCAUUACUAAGGAAACAACAGUACUCUUUAUGGGCUAACAGCUUUGGUUGGGGCGACCUCGGAGAACAAGAAAUCCUCCGAGCGAUUUUAAAGACUAGACCUACAAGUCGAAUCACACAAUCGUUCAUUGAUCCAAAAAAUUGAUCAACGGAACAAGUUACCCUAGGGAUAACAGCGCAAUCCUAUUCAAGAGUUCAUAUCGACAAUAGGGU
rnacentral:rRNA from 1 species